AACCCUGGUCCAGGUUUUGUAGUUCUCUUUGUGCGAUGGGCUCGUCGGCUCCUGGUGUGGGGGCCUCGGUUGCUGCUCCGCGCCAUCUUUCCACAACAGCCCGCGUGCAGGUCUUUGAUCCUCCCCGGCGGGUCCGCAGUCUCACUGUGGUGAGUGGGUGUGAGAGAUGCUGUGGCGGUCACCCUGGGGGAGGACGGGGGUAAUGAUGACCCCAGGUGACUCUGAGUGUCUCGCUGACGCCAUCACCGCAGCGCGCUGACCGCCUCCCGCCUUCUCCCUCCCGCCGGGCCGGUAUCCCUAGUACCAGGGCCUGGGGAAGUUGGUGGCCAGAACCCUUAUUAAUCUUUUGUUUCUGUGUUUCUUUUUCCAAUUAGGGGUUUUAAGGCGUCCAUUGGCGUGUUAUCUUUGAAUAAAGCAUGAGAGCUCUGGAAGCCCAGCCAGGGGCAGCACCCCUUCACAGAGAUUCUGUACUAACCUGAUGACUGAAAGCCUAAGGUUAUAUAAAUUCCUGCUACUUCAUCUUAAGGCUGUGACAAGUGGAGAGCAAGCCCUUUCUCCCUGGUUGCUAUGGAUUUUGCUGACACGAAGGAGGUCCUCUAUCUGAUGUUGGGCAGAUCCUAGGAACUUUCCUAUAAUUUUUGUCUUUCGUGACUGGUAAGGGGAUCACAACCCUUGGUGUGGUGUCGCCUGCACUGCGCUCAGCC